GAUGAACGCUGGCGGCGUGCCUAAUACAUGCAAGUCGAGCGGACGGACGAGAAGCUUGCUUCUCUGAUGUUAGCGGCGGACGGGUGAGUAACACGUGGAUAACCUACCUAUAUGACUGGGAUAACUUCGGGAAACCGUAGCUAAUACCGGAUAAUAUUUUGAACCGCAUGGUUCAAAAGUGAAAGACGGUCUUGCUGUCACUUAUAGAUGGAUCCGCGCUGCAUUAGCUAGUUGGUAAGGUAACGGCUUACCAAGGCAACGAUGCAUAGCCGACCGGAGAGGGUGAUCGGCCACACGAGAACUGAGACACGGUCCAGACUCCUACGGGAGGCAGCAGUAGGGAAUCUUCCGCAAAGGGCGAAAGCCUGACGGAGCAACGCCGCGUGAGUGAUGAAGGUCUUCGGAUCGUAAAGCUCUGUUAUUAGGGAAGAACAUAUGUGUAAGUAACUGUGCACAUCUUGACGGUACCUAAUCAGAAAGCCACGGCUAACUACGUG
rnacentral:rRNA from 1 species